UACGAAGGGGGCUAGCGUUGUCCGGAUUUACUGGGCGUAAAGCGCACGUAGGCGGACUUUUAAGUUGGGGGUGAAAUGCCGAGGCUCAACUGCGGAACUGCCUCUAAAACUGGGAGUCUUGAGGUAUGGAGAGGGAAGUGGAAUUCCAGGUGUAGCGGUGAUAUGCGUAGAUAUCUGGAGGAACACCCGUGGCGAAGGCGGCUUCCUGGUCAUAUCCUGACGCUGAGGUGCGAAAGCCAGGGGAGCGAACGGG
rnacentral:rRNA from 1 species